AUAUGCGAAAGCAUGAUCCAGCGAACUAAUGGAAAUGAAGAAGGUAGGAACUACUGUAAAGUUUAGUGCGAAAAUUAACAAACUGAGUAAAUUUUAAGAGAAGCUCUGGCUAAUACAUGUGCCAGCAGCCGCGGUAAUACAUGAGGAGCAAGCGUUAUCCAUAUUGACUGAGUGUAUUAAAUACUUAGGUGAUUAUAAUUACUACCCUAACGCUGUAUUAAAAACUAAAUAUGGUAGUUAUUUUAUAAAUUCUAAUUAAAAAUAAGAGGGGGAGACUUAUAGAACAACGAUUAAAUGUAGUUACACUAUAUAGCUUGCCAUAAAUUAAGAUGCCCUUCUGUUUUUAAUUUUAUCUAAUGUAUGAAAGUAUGGGGAUCGAUAAGGAUUAGUUUCCCUAGUAGUCCGUACUGUAAAAAAUGAAUACUUUACGAAAAAUAAAUUUCGGGAAUAGCUAACGCAAAAGUAUUCUACUUGGGGAGUAUUGUCGCAAGAUUAAAACUUAACUGAAUUGGCGGGA
rnacentral:rRNA from 1 species